rnacentral:rRNA from 1 species
AUGCGAGCCAUCCACUUCCCCCUCCCCACUUCGAUUCUGCGAGAGAGAGGAAAGCAGAGAGGCUCGGCCGGGCUACCCCAUUCCUUUUCAGCGAGAGUAAGAGGAGCGCGGCCAGAUUGCGCCGUGGCCAUCCUCCUCGCCGGUCGCGCGUUCUCCCUCAGCGGUGAGAGCGCACCGCCGUCGAGGGACUUGGCCGCGGUGCUGGCCCCUUUCUUUUUAUUGUCUUUUACUUUUCUUUUCCGGCAAGCCGUUGAGCUAGCUCCGGUGGUUCUUCGUCCGACGCCUCGGCUUGCCGAUGCGCGUCCGGAUCGAGAGGAAUGGCGCGGCCGUAACGGCGGCGCAACUUUUCCGUAUGGGAAGCUUGUCAGGCUGAAGGAACUUACCGAGGAGCAGAGCCAGUGCGCCGUAGAGAUAUACGUGCUCUGGCUCUUUGGCUGGGUAAUGUUCACCAGCACCCAUGGUGACUGCGUCGAGCCUCGACUCAUUGAGUAUGCGAUGGAUAUUGCCUACUCAAAGAUAGAGGACAUACAAGAGAUUAGCUAUGGUUCUGCUGUGCUCGCUGGUUUGUACCGUGCAAACUGCGAUUCGUGUAUGCGGAUAGGAAAGAAAUCUAGUUAUGUUGGGUGCCCACUUCUGCUCAAUCUGUGGAGUUAUGAGUAUUUGUCGACACUCGGCCAUCCCACGGAGACUUUUUUCAAGCACCCAGGCAGUGUCUACAAGGAUGAUGUGGACGCUCCAACAGUUGGUUCGUACUGGACCAACAGUCAGUUUAAAAAGGAGAAACAAGUUGGCUAUGACUCCUACUCACAGAGCAUCGACAUCUUUAGGCCUUGCUGGGUCAAUUGGAACCCAUAUACCCGGGAUAAACUGCAGCAGCGUGCACCAGGUGGUUUGUCGUCCCUUUGCACGAGGGACAGAAAAUUUUGGUUAACCAAAAGAAACCUGAUUUAUGACAUUUAUGUGGAAGAAUAUGCUCCUCAGCGCUUCAUGAGGCAGUUUGAUCUCGAGCAAAGAGUUCCCCCACCACUAGGAAACCCGGUCCCUGAGGAGAUCCACGCUUGGUCAAGGAGAAGGUGUGAAGCUAACAGUGGCUGGGCCAGAAAACAAAGCAUGGACACUUACAUAGAAACAUGGAGGGCCGCUUCCGAUGAUGACAGCUUGUGGCCCAGUGACAGACCGUACGACCGUAAGUCGUACAAGCAAUACAUGAAGUGGUACCUGCAGACAGAUGUGGUCAGGUGCCACCAGUUUGUUCCACAACAGGGUCAAUCAUACACCGUGCCCGACAGCGGGUACCGUUCUUUGGAGGCCGGGGCAUCAUGGUACAUAGCAGCAACAUCCCUGUCUGAAGUUAAGGAAGUGACGUCGAAAAUGUUGACGUAUGGUGAUCAAAACAUCCCGUCUGAUGAGUUCAAGGCAAUUUGCUCCAAGUUAGGAGGGGCGUUGUCGAGAUGGCAAAAUUUUCGGGAUGUCACAGUAGCACCAAAAUGCCUCAGUCAGCUGCCGUUGGCCUCUGUGGCGGAUGAUGAAGCGGCGGCUCUGGAUUCUGAUGAUGAGAUGGACCAAGAUGGAUACGGGAAUGAAGAGAAUAGCGCGCCGCUGGAGCAAAGUGGUUAUGGGGGUGAUUCUUGUGCUGAUGAAAAUGAUGUUGCUGCCAAAGAGGACGGGGCUCUGCUGCUGCAGCAGCAGACUUGCUAUGAGGCCGCGGUGGCUCAUGCACCACCAUUUUUUUCAGAGGAAAAUGAUGCUGCCAUGAGUCUUUGUUCUCUUGAUCAGAUGCUUCUAAAUCAAAAUGGCGGGAUGUUGUGUGCUGAGCAGGAGCAGUUGCGCAAUGAGGAGGAAGAGCAGAAGGAAGCUUCAGCGACAUGCGAGUCACAAACCAAGCUUGAACAAAAGAGGGGCCUUCGCGCGCAGCAGCAGCAGAUCAAUAUUUGUUACCGUAGAAAACGCAAAGCGGCCCUUCCCGGGCAAGCAAAUUUGUAA